CAACAACAACUUGGUCAUGGCUGACAUUCGGAUCAAUUUCACGGCCGGUUUCUCGGGGCUAAGCUCUGGGCGUGGAGCCAACAUUGGAAUGGAAGCAGCAACCGCACGGCCGCCUUCUGGCGCAGGUUGGGGCGCCAUGGGAUUUGCCUGGCGCCAGGAGCUUCCCAACGGAGGCGCCUUGGAAGCUGGAGCGGUCUGCUUGCGUGAGGCAAAGCCACAGAAGGAGGAGCUCCCUACCAUCUACGGGGACGUCGGCCAUAGGGAGCGUGGCAAAUCAGCGAGAAGCACCACCGGCCGAACAGACCAGUGCAACCAAGAAGGCCACAUGAGCCGAGACUGCCCAACUGCUCACUGUGGAGGACGACGCGGAGGCCUCAGGUGUGGCGAGGAAGGCCACAUGAGCAGAGCUUGAAUGCAGACACGUGGGCCCGACACAGCGAGAUGUGGGUCGCUACGCUUCGCGUACUGCCAGAUUAUGGGUUUUGUGUGUAUUUUUUGGUUUAUUAGAUCGUUAAAUAUAAAGAAAUCUUAAAAUUUCUACUUUUUUGAUAAUUAGAAUAAUAAAUAUAUUGUUCCGCCUUCUA